UACAGGGGGUGCAAACGUUGCUCGGAAUCAUUGGGCGUAAAGCGCACGUAGGCGGCUCGUUAAGUCGGGGGUGAAAUCCUGGAGCUCAACUCCAGAACUGCCCUCGAUACUGACGAGCUCGAGUCCGGGAGAGGUGAGUGGAACUGCGAGUGUAGAGGUGAAAUUCGUAGAUAUUCGCAAGAACACCAGUGGCGAAGGCGGCUCACUGGCCCGGUACUGACGCUGAGGUGCGAAAGCGUGGGGAGCAAACAGG
rnacentral:rRNA from 1 species